rnacentral:rRNA from 1 species
UGCGUAGGUGGUCUGUCAAGUCCGAUGUGAAAGCCCUGGGCUCAACCUGGGAACUGCAUUGGAAACUGGCAGUCUGGAGUGCGGUAGAGGGUAGCGGAAUUCCCGGUGUAGCAGUGAAAUGCGUAGAUAUCGGGAGGAACAUCCGUGGCGAAGGCGGCUACCUGGACCAGCACUGACACUGAGGCACGAAAGCGUGGGGAGCAAACA